rnacentral:misc_RNA from 1 species
UCGUAACAAGGUUUCCGUAGGUGAACCUGCGGAAGGAUCAUUACCGAGUGAGGGCCCUCUGGGUCCAACCUCCCACCCGUGUUUAUUUUACCUUGUUGCUUCGGCGGGCCCGCCUUUACUGGCCGCCGGGGGGCUCACGCCCCCGGGCCCGCGCCCGCCGAAGACACCCUCGAACUCUGUCUGAAGAUUGAAGUCUGAGUGAAAAUAUAAAUUAUUUAAAACUUUCAACAACGGAUCUCUUGGUUCCGGCAUCGAUGAAGAACGCAGCGAAAUGCGAUACGUAAUGUGAAUUGCAAAUUCAGUGAAUCAUCGAGUCUUUGAACGCACAUUGCGCCCCCUGGUAUUCCGGGGGGCAUGCCUGUCCGAGCGUCAUUGCUGCCCUCAAGCCCGGCUUGUGUGUUGGGCCCCGUCCUCCGAUUCCGGGGGACGGGCCCGAAAGGCAGCGGCGGCACCGCGUCCGGUCCUCGAGCGUAUGGGGCUUUGUCACCCGCUCUGUAGGCCCGGCCGGCGCUUGCCGAUCAACCCAAAUUUUUAUCCAGGUUGACCUCGGAUCAGGUAGGGAUACCCGCUGAACCU